rnacentral:rRNA from 1 species
UACGGGGGGGGUAAGCGUUGUUCGGAAUUACUGGGCGUAAAGGGCUCGUAGGCGGCCAACUAAGUCAUACGUGAAAUCCCUCAGCUUAACUGGGGAACUGCGUGUGAUACUGGAUGGCUUGGAUUUGGGAGAGGGAUGCGGAAUUCCAGGUGUAGCGGUGAAAUGCGUAGAUAUUCGGAAGAACACCAGUGGCGAAGGCGACUACCUGGCCUGUUCUUGACGCUGAGGCGCGAAAGCUAGGGGAGC